ensembl:lncRNA LINC00702 long intergenic non-protein coding RNA 702
ACAUGACUCAGAAGCCCUUCUUAAAAUAAGACCAGACCACAUUCAUGGAGGCUGAGUCACCUCUAACCUUCCAAACUUGUGUCUUACCAAGAAUGAAAGGCAACCUAUGUAAAAACUAUGGGCUUUCUAGUAUAAAUAAAAACUACUCAUCUCCAGAAAAUAAACAAUGACUGCUAAGAUGAUUGAAAAAAGAAAGGAGAAGAAAGUAGCUUGUAAAAGCGUGUGAAAUGCAUUCACGUUGGAAUCUCCUACAGGCACUUCAGGUCAAAGACUACCGAUGUCCAGAUCAUAAUGCGAGGACAGUUUGAGCCCAGUGCUCUCUGACUGAGGUAGAACCCCCGGGAAGGUGAAGAGGGCAGCCGUCUGCGAAACAGCCCAGCAUUUAAGAAUGGGCAGCACCUGGCCAGGUGCAUUUGAGAACUAGGAAUGUGGCAACAAUAACAUUUAUUUAUUUGGAUGAAGAGAAGAAGAUGUAUUGGAUUCCCUGAAACAAUCAUUGACCUGCCUGAAUCCCAACUGUUGCACUGACUCCACUAAUUCACCAAUCCACUUGAGCUGGGAGGAGAGCCCAUGCACAGAAGUUUAUGGAUAAACAGACCUGAACGUCUAGCAUGAUGUCAAAUUUAUAUGGCCACAGAACUACAAAAGGAAAUAACUAUAACCUCACUGACCACAGUGCUGCUGACACUUGGACAACAUGGGUUUGAGCUUCAUGGGUCCACUUAGACAAUAAUUUUUUCACUAACUAUAUUGGAAAUGUUUUUGGAAAUUUAUAACAGUUUGAAAAAUAUUGUAGACCAACAUGUAGCCUAGAAAUAUUAAAACAUUAAGAAGCAAGUAUGGCAUGAAUACAUAGAAUAUAUG